rnacentral:rRNA from 1 species
UGGGGAAUAUUGCACAAUGGGCGCAAGCCUGAUGCAGCCAUGCCGCGUGUAUGAAGAAGGCCUUCGGGUUGUAAAGUACUUUCAGCGGGGAGGAAGGGAGUAAAGUUAAUACCUUUGCUCAUUGACGUUACCCGCAGAAGAAGCACCGGCUAACUCCGUGCCAGCAGCCGCGGUAAUACGGAGGGUGCAAGCGUUAAUCAGAAUUACUGGGCGUAAAGCGCACGCAGGCGGUUUGUUAAGUCAGAUGUGAAAUCCCCGGGCUCAACCUGGGAACUGCAUCUGAUACUGGCAAGCUUGAGUCUCGUAGAGGGGGGUAGAAUUCCAGGUGUAGCGGUGAAAUGCGUAGAGAUCUGGAGGAAUACCGGUGGCGAAGGCGGCCCCCUGGACGAAGACUGACGCUCAGGUGCGAAAGCGUGGGGAGCAAACA